UCUCCCACCCACCUCCUGGUCUUCCUGCUCUCUUCCCCCGCCCUGGGCUCUACUGAGCGCAGCAGAGGAGAGAGAAGACGUUCUGCACUUCCUUGGGGAAUGGGAUACAAAUCCCAGGCAUGCCGCAGCGAGAAAAAACUUUUUAUAGAGAGAGGGGGAAAGGGAAAGAAAGAAAAGUCCCUUUCAGGACCCGGGGAUUUCAUUUCUAAACGAGAAACACCGAUCUAAGGGCGGAGAACCCGGAGUGGACGCGGGGACAGCUCGGGUCCCGGCCCAGCUUCCCCUUUUCUGCUCCGGCGUCGGCGAAGAGACUUAAGGGGUUUCUUGGAGACCCCGGAAGAGUGACUUGCAACUUGAGCGCUCAAUUAAAAACAAAAAACAAAAAACCAACCAACCAAAAAAAGCUAACCGAACCCCGAAAAUUCAAAUCCCAACAAAAUCCGAAGGCGGAUGCCAGAGAGCGGCCAGUCAGAGUGCAUCGCCGCAGCCGGUGACCUCCUUUCUCCCGAGGGUUUCUUGUUUAACUGGUUGCGUCCCCUGCCCUCCCGUUCCCCAGGGAGCCGAAGGGGAGUCUCUGCCCCCAAGGUGCUUAAUGGCUAGCAAGCUGACUUUGUUCAGGUAAACUCUCUGAAAACCACAACAAAAGCACCCUGUAAAGAUACAAGCCUGAUCAGAGAAAACUCCCUAGAGCCAGUGAAUAGGGAACACAAUCCCAAACAAUGCAGGACAAGGAGAUCUUAUCAAAGAAAAACCCUUCUCAAAGCCUUAAUGACAGCCACAUUCUGUUUGAAUUACCACUACUGAACAAAUGGCGGCAGGCGCUUUCAUCCCCCCAGCUCUGCACAUUAACAUAAACACUGGCUCCAAAGGCAGAAUUUGAAUGGAGACAAGGGACCGGCCACCGCCGCACAAGCUCAAACUGUGGGAACACCACGGGCUGCUGUGGGAAGAGCGACGGGCCUGUAAGAGCUCCACUGCCAUCGUCCCCCGGGACAUGACUGUUGCCAGCGGUCGGCACCGGGGCACUGAGGCGCGGCGGCCUCGGGAGUAACCGGGAUCCCCACUUCGAGCCGCCCGGGGAGCCCCCGCCGUUCCCGCCGGUCGCGCUAGGCAGGGGAUGAGAGGGGAAUGACAUAAGUUGUUAUUUACUGCCAAAGUCGCCAUACUUUUUUUUUUGGCCACUAUAUAUAUAAAUGUUAAAAAAAAAGAGAGAAAGAAAAAGAAAAAGAAAAGGCAAAAGAGGAGACAGCAGUCGUGGGAGGCGUAUAUCAAAGUGGGGGACACGCAACUCUCCUGGCAGAUGCGGGGGGGAGAAAUAAAAGAGAGGGUCUGCAGGGGUAUUAACAUCACAAGGGAGUGUGGCGCCGGCCACGGCCUGACCCGUCCUGCCCGCAGCAGCCAGGACCGGUCUCCCGCCGCCGGGGCACCGGCGGGGCACGCCUUCGCACCUUCUGGCCCCGAUGGCACGGUCCGGCCCGGCCAGGGGCACGGCACAGCCCGCAGGAAUCGACGGGCGGCCGCCUGGGAGGCCUGGCCGCACGGAGACGUUAAUAAAGGGCAGGCGCCCAGUGACUCAGAAACAAA